rnacentral:rRNA from 1 species
UCUAUAAUUGAUAAUCCACGAUUUAUUAUACUCUAUGUAAGAAAAAUUUAUAUAUCGUCGUAGUUUGAAUAUUUUAAAAGAAAAUAAAUAUUCAAAAUUUUUUAUAAAAAAAUAAAUCAGAUCAAGGUGUAGUUUAUAAAUAAGAAGAAAUGGGUUACAAUAAAUUUAUUUUUGGAUUAAUUUAUGAAAUUAAUUUAUGAAAAUGGAUUUGAAAGUAAUUUUAAUUAAUUAAUUAAAAUGAUUUUAGCUCUAAAAUAUGUACAUAUUGCCCGUCGCUUUUGUUUUAAAAUGAAAUAAGUCGUAACAAAGUAGAUUUACUGGAAAGUGAAUCUAGAGU